GUGCUCACUUAAGCGGCACAUAUACUAAAAUUGGAACGAUACAGAGAAGAUUAGCAUGGUCCCUGCGCAAAGAUGACAUGCAAAUCUGUGAAGCGUUCCAUAUUUUU
ensembl:snRNA U6 U6 spliceosomal RNA